AGUGAACGCUGGCGGCAGGCCUAACACAUGCAAGUCGAACGGCAGCACAGUAAGAGCUUGCUCUUACGGGUGGCGAGUGGCGGACGGGUGAGGAAUACAUCGGAAUCUACUUUUUCGUGGGGGAUAACGUAGGGAAACUUACGCUAAUACCGCAUACGACCUACGGGUGAAAGCAGGGGAUCUUCGGACCUUGCGCGAUUGAAUGAGCCGAUGUCGGAUUAGCUAGUUGGCGGGGUAAAGGCCCACCAAGGCGACGAUCCGUAGCUGGUCUGAGAGGAUGAUCAGCCACACUGGAAGUGAGACACGGUCCAGACUCCUACGGGAGGCAGCAGUGGGGAAUAUUAGACAAUGGGCGCAAGCCUGAUCCAGCCAUACCGCGUGAGUGAAGAAGGCCUUCGGGUUGUAAAGCCCUUUUGUUGGGAAAGAAAAGCAGCAGGUUAAUACCCCGCUGUUCUGACGGUACCCAAAGAAUAAGCACCGGCUAACUUCGUG
rnacentral:rRNA from 1 species